rnacentral:rRNA from 1 species
AUUGAACGCUGGCGGCAUGCUUAACACAUGCAAGCCGAACGGUAACAGGCCCUUCGGGUGCUGACGAGUGGCGGACGGGUGAGUAAUGCUUAGGAAUCUACCUAGUAGUGGGGGAUAACCCGGGGAAACUCGGGCUAAUACCGCAUACGCCCUACGGGGGAAAGGCGGGGACGUUUCGGGUCCUCGCGCUAUUAGAUGAGCCUAAGUCCGAUUAGUCUAGUUGGUAGGGUAAUGGCCUACCAAGCGACGACGGUAGCUGGUCUGAGAGGACGACCACGCCACACUGGGA